GCCCCAUAAAGACUGCAUAAACUCUGCAGAGAAAAAAAUCCUCACUUGGAGUGUAAAAAAAUUGUCCAAAGAAUCCUCUAUGGACAAUUUUUUCUCUGCAGAUAUUUUUCUCAAAAUGUAUAGGGCACCUCUAUGCCUCAUACAUUUUGAGGAAAAUAUGAAAGAAAAUGUAUGAUGUCAUAUCCAUUCAUUAGAAAAAGAACUUUAUUGAAACAUGAGAAACUUUGGUACAUGCAUUCGACAUUGUUUACAUGAGAAAGUAAUCAAAAUGAGCAACAUGUAUAUUGCAUGCUUAUGCAUGCUGGGAAUGGCUGACUGAAUGUGAUCUAACAGCAUAGUAUCUACAAAAAUGAAUGCAGCACAAAGACAAGCAAAUAGGUUUGUUUCUGUAGUGAGUCUAAUAUACCAAUGCCUUCAAAUGGUCCCAUAAAAAAGAAAUCUAAGUGUGUCAGAUCUUGCAAUUAUUGUGGCCACUCAACUGUAUCCGUCAUGCCUAAUCCAGUGAUCUGGAUAUUCCAUAAUCAACCAUUUAUAUAUACAGGAGAGGCGAAAUGUGCCAUGCUCCAUCAUGCUGUAUCCAUUGAUCAUGUCGUGCUGAUAACAUGCAAUUGUUUUAUGUCUGCUAUGCAAAACUUUACAUCACAUUUCAAGUUUUGUUUCCAAUAAAGUUCUUUUCCAUGC
rnacentral:lncRNA from 1 species